rnacentral:lncRNA from 1 species
CUCCCUGAAUGAAAGCCCCACGCUUGCUUUGCUGCCAGUGUUGCUCUGGAAAUGACUCUCUUGGUCUCCUUGCCUGUUGCAGGGGCAUCUCUGCAUCAUUAGCCUUGCAAAACGGUCUGUUCCUACCACGCAUCAGACUCCAUGACACAUCCAAGACUCUCACAGAAGCACAAAAGGGGGAAGCAAACUAUUUUAGAGAAGUCUUCAUCAAUUUCUAUGAGGCCUCCCAUGUCCUUAACUCAUAAACACCCUCCCCUCUGUUGAAGAGAGCCUGUAAGAGCCCCUCCAGAUCCUCGGUUAUGCAUCUUUCCCAAGAGGCUUGCUCUCACUCCAAGCAUGUUCUUUCUCUAUGAAAUCACACUUUCUCCUGAUUACUUAAUAAAAAAAAUCAACUGUG